AACGUAGGAGACGAACGUUAUCCGGAGUUACUGGGCGUAAAGGGCGUGUAGGCGGUUUGUUAAGUCUGGCGUGAAAGCUCUCGGCUAAACCGGGAGAGGUCGUUGGAUACUGGCGAACUCGAGGAUGGUAGAGGCGUGUGGAAUUCCGGGUGUAGUGGUGAAAUGCGUAGAGAUCCGGAGGAACACCAGUGGCGAAGGCGGCGCCCUGGCUCGCAACUGACGCUCAGACACGACAGCAUGGGGAGCGAACGGG
rnacentral:rRNA from 1 species